rnacentral:rRNA from 1 species
GACGAACGCUGGCGGCGUGCCUAAUACAUGCAAGUUGAGCGCUGAAGGUUGGUACUUGUACCGACUGGAUGAGCAGCGAACGGGUGAGUAACGCGUGGGGAAUCUGCCUUUGAGCGGGGGACAACAUUUGGAAACGAAUGCUAAUACCGCAUAAAAACUUUAAACACAAGUUUUAAGUUUGAAAGAUGCAAUUGCAUCACUCAAAGAUGAUCCCGCGUUGUAUUAGCUAGUUGGUGAGGUAAAGGCUCACCAAGGCGAUGAUACAUAGCCGACUUGAGAGGGUGAUCGGCCACAUUGGGACUGAGACACGGCCCAAACUCCUACGGGAGGCAGCAGUAGGGAAUCUUCGGCAAUGGACGAAAGUCUGACCGAGCAACGCCGCGUGAGUGAAGAAGGUUUUCGGAUCGUAAAACUCUGUUGGUAGAGAAGAACGUUGGUGAGAGUGGAAAGCUCAUCAAGUGACGGUAACUACCCAGAAAGGGACGGCUAACUACGUGCCAGCAGCCGCGGUAAUACGUAGGUCCCGAGCGUUGUCCGGAUUUAUUGGGCGUAAAGCGAGCGCAGGUGGUUUAUUAAGUCUGGUGUAAAAGGCAGUGGCUCAACCAUUGUAUGCAUUGGAAACUGGUAGACUUGAGUGCAGGAGAGGAGAGUGGAAUUCCAUGUGUAGCGGUGAAAUGCGUAGAUAUAUGGAGGAACACCGGUGGCGAAAGCGGCUCUCUGGCCUGUAACUGACACUGAGGCUCGAAAGCGUGGGGAGCAAACAGGAUUAGAUACCCUGGUAGUCCACGCCGUAAACGAUGAGUGCUAGAUGUAGGGAGCUAUAAGUUCUCUGUAUCGCAGCUAACGCAAUAAGCACUCCGCCUGGGGAGUACGACCGCAAGGUUGAAACUCAAAGGAAUUGACGGGGGCCCGCACAAGCGGUGGAGCAUGUGGUUUAAUUCGAGCACGCG